rnacentral:rRNA from 1 species
UUUAACUGAAGAGUUUGAUCAUGGCUCAGAUUGAACGCUGGCGGCAGGCUUAACACAUGCAAGUCGAGCGGGGGAAGGUAGCUUGCUACUGGACCUAGCGGCGGACGGGUGAGUAAUGCUUAGGAAUCUGCCUAUUAGUGGGGGACAACAUCUCGAAAGGGAUGCUAAUACCGCAUACGUCCUACGGGAGAAAGCAGGGGAUCUUCGGACCUUGCGCUAAUAGAUGAGCCUAAGUCGGAUUAGCUAGUUGGUGGGGUAAAGGCCUACCAAGGCGACGAUCUGUAGCGGGUCUGAGAGGAUGAUCCGCCACACUGGGACUGAGACACGGCCCAGACUCCUACGGGAGGCAGCAGUGGGGAAUAUUGGACAAUGGGGGGAACCCUGAUCCAGCCAUGCCGCGUGUGUGAAGAAGGCCUUAUGGUUGUAAAGCACUUUAAGCGAGGAGGAGGCUACUUUAGUUAAUACCUAGAGAUAGUGGACGUUACUCGCAGAAUAAGCACCGGCUAACUCUGUGCCAGCAGCCGCGGUAAUACAGAGGGUGCGAGCGUUAAUCGGAUUUACUGGGCGUAAAGCGUGCGUAGGCGGCUUAUUAAGUCGGAUGUGAAAUCCCCGAGCUUAACUUGGGAAUUGCAUUCGAUACUGGUGAGCUAGAGUAUGGGAGAGGAUGGUAGAAUUCCAGGUGUAGCGGUGAAAUGCGUAGAGAUCUGGAGGAAUACCGAUGGCGAAGGCAGCCAUCUGGCCUAAUACUGACGCUGAGGUACGAAAGCAUGGGGAGCAAACAGGAUUAGAUACCCUGGUAGUCCAUGCCGUAAACGAUGUCUACUA